GUAGGUGGCAAGCGUUGUCCGGAAUUAUUGGGCGUAAGCGCGCGCAGGCGGUUCUUUAAGUCUGAUGUGAAAGCCCACGGCUCAACCGUGGAGGGUCAUUGGAAACUGGAGAACUUGAGUACAGAAGAGGAAAGCGGAAUUCCACGUGUAGCGGUGAAAUGCGUAGAGAUGUGGAGGAACACCAGUGGCGAAGGCGGCUUUCUGGUCUGUAACUGACGCUGAGGCGCGAAAGCGUGGGGAGCAAACAGGAUUAGAUACCCUGGUAGUCCACGCCGUAAACGAUGAGUGCUAAGUGUUAGGGGGUUUCCGCCCCCCUUAGUGCUGCAGCUAACGCAUUAAGCAUCCGCCUGGGAGUACGGCCGCAAGGCUG
rnacentral:rRNA from 1 species